AAAUCUGGGGCUGUCUCUUGAAAACAGGGACACUUGGCAGGUCUGCUGAGGUGCCCAGAUGGGAGACCACCAGGGAACCCAUGGUAUGGUGCUCAGAAUUAUACAGUCAAAACGUACUAUGUAAAUACAUAUAUAGACACACUGUCCUUUUUGUCUUUUCUCACGAAAUAAUAUUUCACUAAGUCAGAAAGAGGCCUGCUCAUGAAAGGGCAUCUGUGGACCUGAGCCUCCAAAAUAGCUCUACUUGGGAGUAAUUUUUUCUGACCUCAGUGGAAAUUAGUUCCUAGUGAGCAUGCUUGGGAUUGUGGUAUAAGGAACAUGACCCAACACUGGUGUCAAGAAAGGGGAUAGCUAGCUUUAUUCAAGUUUGCUACAUGUUUGGGGGGCUCUAAGAAGAAUCCCAUGCUUGGGUGGGUCAUCAAGAAAGAUUUCAAAAAUGUGUGCAGCACGGUGAGGGAGAAGAAGAGAAGAGUUGUGUCAUUCACACAUCAUUAAGAAUGCCACACACAUGAGCCCUUAGACACCUCUGGAAGUUGUGCACAAUGGCUUCCACAUCUUGCUGGGCUACACAACUCCCACCAGUCCCAGCCAACAUGGCCAACGGUCAGGGAUGAUGGGAGUUGUUCUCCACUAACAUCUGGAGUGCACCACAUUGGUUACUCCCCAAGCAUUAUGGUGUUUAAACCUUAAUGUCUUAGAGCUCAGGCAAGUCACAUCAGCAUGGUUUCCAUAGUGUCAGAUAUGUUUCUGUUUGUGCAUGCACCAGGGGACAUUAACAGGCCAGGGAUGUCUUUGCCUUAUGCAACUGGUGCUCACACCUUGACUAGAGGCUUAAGGACUCCAAUCCAUUUCAGAAACCAUAUCAAAGAGUAGGAUUUUAGAACAGGAUACAUGGGCAUUCUGGAUGUCCGUUGAACAAGGAUUAAAAGCCCAGCACUUGAAACUGAGUGCACGCAGCAAAUGGAACUGUGAACAUCAUGAUUCAGCCGACACAGUCGUCCUCAGCAACAAAAGUUACCCCGGCACGUUCUUCAUUUUUAUACUUCAUUCGAAAUCUGGGAUUUGGUACAGGUGAUUUCAGUAUCUCUGCCUUGAGAGUAUCAUCUCCUCAUGGCCCCUCCUUGGUGGCUUUCUGAGAUCACAGUUUUAGGCGGGAAAUUGGAUGGGCUGGGUUUUUUUUUGUUUUGACAUUUUAAAGGUUUGUAAUGGUGGUUUUAAUAUGUAAAUUGUUUAAAAAACCAGCCUCCAACAUUUAUCCAAUAAAAAUGGGGACGUCCCAUUCCAUAAUGAUAAUUUUACUCUUUAUACCCCACACAUCUUACUGGGUUGCCCCAGCCACUCUGGACAGCUUCCAACAUAUAUAAAAACAUAAUAAAACAUUAAACAUUUUUUUAAAAACCCUUCCCUAUACAGGAUUGCCUUCAGACGGCUCUGGGGUCGGAUAACUCCAUACCCUCCUAUAUUUCUCCAAUAAAAAUAGAGAUAUUCUAAGGAAAGGUAGGACUUUCUGGGAUCAAAUCAGAAACCAGGGUGGCUUCUCUAAAUCAGGGACGUCCCUGGAAAAUAGGGACACUUGGAGGGUCUGAAAAAUGUGUAUUGUUUCAACUCUGUGUGAACCACCCAGAGAGAACUUUGCUGACUAGGCAGUCAAUAAAGGUAUACAUAAAUACAGUGGUGCCUCGCAAGACGAAAUUAAUUCGUUCCGCGAGUUUUGUCGUCUUGCGAUUUUUUUCGUCUUGCGAAGCACGGUGUCGGGAAAGUUUUGGAAAAGCUUCAAAAAUCACCAAAGUCUUUAAAAACCUCAAAAGGCUACCACACCGCGUUCUAUGAGUUGCUCCUCGAAGUCAAGUCGCAACUGUAUUAACGGUGUUAAGAAAAAGGAAACAAACUUGCAAGACGUUUCUGUCUUGCGAAGCAAGCCCAUAGGGAAAAUCGUCUUGCGAAGCAGCUCAAAAAACAAAAAACCCUUUCGUCUAGCGAGUUUUUUGUCUUGCGAGGUAUUUGUCUUGAGAGGUACCACUGUAAGUGCAUGAAAAGAAUUCACCUGGAAACAUUAAGAACCAUUUCUGUCAGGCAUGUCUUCAUAAAUUACUCUUUUUAAAAAACAAAAACCAAAACCCUAUGCAUACGUUUUCCUCAAUCUGUAUAUAACAUAAUGGCAUUUCUCAACUAACCCAUUUAUUGACCUAGAACGUUCCCAGAUCUUCCAUAUUAUGCCUAAAGACACAAAGGAAAAAGUCCUGUCUAGUCCUGUUUUCAGUCCUGUCCUGUCUAGGAAUAAUAGCUGCAUAAAGGAUUAAAUGACUUAAGAGAGGGAGGCCUCCCUUUCGAUGAAAUGUCCUUUGGGCCUAUUCCAACAUAAGCCAUGCUUUCGUCUUUUGUUCACCUGCACAUAACUGCCGUAUGUGCCGUAACUGGUAGCAGACACUGCACAGUCCAGCUGAUGACUGAUGGGCGCAAGAUAUCUGGCACCACCCAUUUCUGCAGGUGAAGGUGAAUGAAAGGCAAAAUACUACAAAUAGCACACACAGCUCUUAGAAGCUGGAAGCUCCACACCUUGGCUGCCUAAGAAGUAGCCCCUGACAAUAUAGCAGGGAUAGGGGCGCCAUGCUAAUAAACACUUCCUUUCUUCUAGGUGCUUACGAGUUUGCUGCCUAAUAUCUGCUCUAGUAUCUUCUCAGGUCAAGGAAAUCAAAUGAGUAAGUCCAACAGCGAGUUGCUGCUUCAGUGAUCAAAUACUGUGCAAAUUCUUACAGAGACCAAGCCAGUUUGCUUUGUAAUUCCCCGUAUAAAGGUUUCCAAUUGGGAAAGUUGACCAGCUAACUCCUGUGUGAAAGUCAUCAACUAUCACCUACCUGAAGCAGAAAAAGAGGGAUGGGAGACAUGGGAAAGCAGGCCUGAGAGACCACCUGCUUUGGGAGCUUUGCGACUUCAAGAACUGGCAUCUAGUUGGCUUGUUU